AUAUGAGGCAUGGUGCAUUUGGACCUGAAAGGGGCACCUCCUAGAAUCGGCUACUUAAUUGAGUUAUUUGCUGAUCUUGGUGCAAAUGGCUUGCUCAUUGAAUAUGAGUAUAUGUUUUCCAAUGAAGGAGAGCUGAAAGUUCUUCAAUUUAUGGCUCAGCUUCCAUACAGGUGAGUAUAUAUUUUCAAAAUAUUAUUAUGAUGUUCAAAAAAGGGUGGUUAAGACACUUGGUACUGUGGAUGUAGGAGACACUUGAGAGGUAUUUCACAUUCAUAUUCGUGACCUGAAAGAUAAAAAAGCAUGUGUGAGUGUAACACUAAUAAACCUCAAGGCUUACUUUAAAAUAGACUCAUUUACAAAAUGUUCUUUGGCCUGUGUGUCCUAGAUUGUCUUCCAGAACGUCUUGCUCCUUUGCUGGGGCAAAACUAACUGAACUCAUAGUGAAGCUGACGUCUCUGCUGGAGUCUACAGAACUGAGACAUUUUCAGAACAAUAUGAUUCGUGAUGCCGUGGAGAGCCAGGUGUGAGAGGUGAGAGGAGAGAUGUGUCUGCUGUACUCAGACUCUAUAGUUUAGGAAUGGGUGGUCCAGCACUUCACCCCAGUGCUGGACCCACUGCACAACCUUCUGAGAGACACAGAAACUGUUUUAAAUGAAAUGGGAUUUUGUACUGAAUCUAUAUCUUAAAGUUGGUCAGUAAGUUUAAUUGGAAAACUUUCUUUGGUUUCAUUCAAGCUAGACUGUACUUGCAGUGCAAUGUAAAACAGAAU